rnacentral:rRNA from 1 species
CCUGCUAAAUAGCUAGGCUAGCUUUAGCUGGUCGCUAGCUUCUUAGAGGGACUAUCGGCUUAAGCCGAUGGAAGUUUAAGGUAAUAAUAGGUCUAUAAUACCCUUAGAUAUUCUAGGCCGCACGCGCGCUAUACUAACAGAGCCAACGAGUUCAUCACCUUAGCCGGAAGGUCUA